UACGUAGGGUGCGAGCGUUAAUCGGAAUUACUGGGCGUAAAGCGUGCGCAGGCGGUUCGUUGUGUCGGUGGUGAAAGCCCCGGGCUCAACCUGGGAAUUGCAUCUGUGACUGUAUAGCUAGAGUACGGUAGAGGGGGAUGGAAUUCCGCGUGUAGCAGUGAAAUGCGUAGAUAUGCGGAGGAACACCGAUGGCGAAGGCAAUCCCCUGGACCUGUACUGACGCUCAUGCACGAAAGCGUGGGGAGCAAACAGG
rnacentral:rRNA from 1 species